GUGAACGCUGGCGGUAGGCCUAACACCUGCAAGUCGAACGGCAGCACAGUAAGAGCUUGCUCUUACGGGUGGCGAGUGGCGGACGGGUGAGGAAUACAUCGGAAUCUACUUUUUCGUGGGGGAUAACGUAGGGAAACUUACGCUAAUACCGCAUACGACCUACGGGCGAAAGCAGGGGAUCUUCGGACCUUGCGCGAUUGAAUGAGCCGAUGUCGGAUUAGCUAGUUGGCGGGGUAAAGGCCCACCAAGGCGACGAUCCGUAGCUGGUCUGAGAGGAUGAUCAGCCACACUGGAACUGAGACACGGUCCAGACUCCUACGGGAGGCAGCAGUGGGGAAUAUUGGACAAUGGGCGCAAGCCUGAUCCAGCCAUACCGCGUGGGUGAAGAAGGCCUUCGGGUUGUAAAGCCCUUUUGUUGGGAAAGAAAAGCAGCAGGUUAAUACCCCGCUGUUCUGACGGUACCCAAAGAAUAAGCACCGGCUAACUUCGUG
rnacentral:rRNA from 1 species